AACCAGCACCUCAAGUGGUCAGGAUGAUUAUUGGGCCUAAAGCAUCCGUAGCCGGCUCUGUAAGUUUUCGGUUAAAUCUAUACGCUCAACGUAUGGGCUGCCGAAAAUACUGCAGAGAUAGGGAGUGGGAGAGGUAGACGGUACUCGGUAGGAAGGGGUAAAAUCCUUUGAUCUAUCGAUGACCACCUGUGGCGAAGGCGGUCUACCAGAACACGUUCGACGGUGAGGGAUGAAAGCUGGGGGAGCAAACCGG
rnacentral:rRNA from 1 species